UACCCAAACAUUGAGAAAGCAGAGGGCUGC
rnacentral:piRNA from 1 species